ensembl:snoRNA SNORD115 Small nucleolar RNA SNORD115
GGGUCAAUGAUGAGAGCUCAUAAUGUCUUGAAGACAGAUGAUGAUGUAGAAAUCAUGCUCACUAGGAUUACACUGAGGCUC